rnacentral:rRNA from 1 species
UACGGAGGGUGCAAGCGUUAUCCGGAUUCACUGGGUUUAAAGGGUCCGUAGGCGGCCUUAUAAGUCAGUGGUGAAAUCUCCCGGCUCAACCGGGAAAUUGCCAUUGAUACUGUAGGGCUUGAAUUAUUAGGAAGUAACUAGAAUAUGUAGUGUAGCGGUGAAAUGCUUAGAGAUUACAUGGAAUACCAAUUGCGAAGGCAGGUUACUACUAAUGGAUUGACGCUGAUGGACGAAAGCGUGGGUAGCGAACAGG